CCUACGGGAGGCUGCAGUGGGGAAUAUUGCACAAUGGGCGCAAGCCUGAUGCAGCCAUGCCGCGUGUGUGAAGAAGGCCUUCGGGUUGUAAAGCACUUUCAGCGGGGAGGAAGGCGUUAAGGUUAAUAACCUUGGCGAUUGACGUUACCCGCAGAAGAAGCACCGGCUAACUCCGUGCCAGCAGCCGCGGUAAUACGGAGGGUGCAAGCGUUAAUCGGAAUUACUGGGCGUAAAGCGCACGCAGGCGGUCUGUCAAGUCGGAUGUGAAAUCCCCGGGCUCAACCUGGGAACUGCAUUCGAAACUGGCAGGCUAGAGUCUUGUAGAGGGGGGUAGAAUUCCAGGUGUAGCGGUGAAAUGCGUAGAGAUCUGGAGGAAUACCGGUGGCGAAGGCGGCCCCCUGGACAAAGACUGACGCUCAGGUGCGAAAGCGUGGGGAGCAAACAGGAUUAGAUGCCCGAGUAGUC
rnacentral:rRNA from 1 species